UUAAACUUACGGGGGGCAGCAGUGGGGGAUAUUGCACAAUGGGGGAAACCCUGAUGCAGCGACGCCGCGUGGGCGAAGAAGUAUUUCGGUAUGUAAAGCCCUAUCAGCAGGGAAGAAGAAAUGACGGUACCUGAGUAAGAAGCACCGGCUAAAUACGUGCCAGCAGCCGCGGUAAUACGUAUGGUGCAAGCGUUAUCCGGAUUCACUGGGUGUAAAGGGAGCGUAGACGGCCAUGCAAGCCUGGAGUGAAAGCCCGGGGCCCAACCCCGGGACUGCUCUGGGAACUGUGCGGCUGGAGUGCGGGG
rnacentral:rRNA from 1 species